rnacentral:rRNA from 1 species
UGCGCAGGCGGUUAUGUAAGACAGAUGUGAAAUCCCCGAGCUUAACUUGGGAACUGCAUUUGUGACUGCAUGACUAGAGUGUGUCAGAGGGAGGUGGAAUUCCACGUGUAGCAGUGAAAUGCGUAGAUAUGUGGAGGAACAUCGAUGGCGAAGGCAGCCUCCUGGGAUAACACUGACGCUCAUGCACGAAAGCGUGGGAGCAAACA